CUUUCAGAGAUACACAUUGUUCAUGCAUAUGCUUGGCCAAAGUCAGAGUGAUGCAUACAUCGAAAAUUAAAGAGUUCUUCGAAAGGUAACCUAGAAAUUCAAAUCCAAACAUACUGGUACUACUAUAUCAGCCUAUAUAUGUGGCCAGCAGUUGCGAAUGUAAAUGAAGAUCUUUGAGUCUUUCCAUUGCUGCUGAUGUUACACACCCCAUCCUGGAAAAGAUUCGAGUCCUUCCAUUGCUGCUGUAAGUGACUUUCUACUGCUAUAAAAAUGUCUCAAGUUCUGUUAUGAUACAAU
rnacentral:lncRNA from 1 species